rnacentral:rRNA from 1 species
CUUCGGUGUCAGCGGCGGACGGGUGAGUAACGCGUGGGAACGUGCCUUCUGGUUCGGAAUAACUCAGGGAAACUUGAGCUAAUACCGGAUACGCCCUUUUGGGGAAAGGUUUACUGCCGGAAGAUCGGCCCGCGUCUGAUUAGCUAGUUGGUGGGGUAACGGCCUACCAAGGCGACGAUCAGUAGCUGGUCUGAGAGGAUGAUCAGCCACACUGGGACUGAGACACGGCCCAGACUCCUACGGGAGGCAGCAGUGGGGAAUAUUGGACAAUGGGCGCAAGCCUGAUCCAGCCAUGCCGCGUGAGUGAUGAAGGCCUUAGGGUUGUAAAGCUCUUUUAUCCGGGACGAUAAUGACGGUACCGGAGGAAUAAGCCCCGGCUAACUUCGUGCCAGCAGCCGCGGUAAUACGAAGGGGGCUAGCGUUGCUCGGAAUCACUGGGCGUAAAGGGCGCGUAGGCGGUCUUUUAAGUCGGGGGUGAAAGCCUGUGGCUCAACCACAGAAUUGCCUUCGAUACUGGGAGACUUGAGUUCGGAAGAGGUUGGUGGAACUGCGAGUGUAGAGGUGAAAUUCGUAGAUAUUCGCAAGAACACCGGUGGCGAAGGCGGCCAACUGGUCCGACACUGACGCUGAGGCGCG